AUGGGGAAGUGGAUCAGGUCGCUGGUCGGCCUCAAGGCGCCGUCGGCGUCCGCGGCGCCGGGAAAGGGCCGGAAGUGGAGCCGGCUCUGGCGGGGCGCGUCCAGGGACGGCGCCGGGGGCUGCGAGACGUCCUCGACCACGUCGUCCGCCACCGCGCUCGGCUCGGUCGUGGCGCGCGCGCCGCCCGCGGACUUCCGCGUGAUCAGGCAGGAGUGGGCCGCCGUGCGCAUCCAGGCCGCCUUCCGCGCCCUCCUGGCGAGGCGGGCGCUGAAGGCGCUGCGGGGGAUCGUGCGGCUGCAGGCGCUGGUGCGCGGCCGGCUGGUGCGGAGGCAGCUCGCCGUCACGCUCAGCCGCAUGGAGGCGCUGCUGAGGGUGCAGGAGCGCGCCAUGGAGCGCCGGGCGCGCUGCUCCGCCGACGCGCAGUCACAGGACGCGCCCGGCCACCGCGACGGCCGUGCCGAUCCGCUCAGGGAAACCGAGGGACGAUGGUGUGACAGGCAAGGUUCUGUCAACCAAGUAAAAUCAAGAAUGCACAUGAAACAUGAGGGCGCAGUGAAGAGACAAAGGGCAAUUGCUUAUGCACAUUCUCACCAGCGUGGGAGUUCAAGAUACAGUGGAAGGUCAAGCUCCCCUGCAAGCUCUCUCAGGAACCAUGAGUCUUACAUAGAAGGAUGGAUGGCAACAAAGCCCUGGGAGAGCACGCAUAUGGACUCAAACAUCGGCGAGUCGCGUCGUCUACAUAGCUACAAGGAGACGAUGAACUUCGAAGACUCCAAAUAUUCAUGUGCUGGCUCCACCAAGAUCAGAAGAAACAACGACUCGACCAGGGUUGAAGCAAUGCCUCCACCGGCGCUCUCGGCUUCCUCUUCUGACUUUGGGUGCGACGAGAGCUCUCCGUCGACAUCCUCGGUGACCCCGGGAUACUCUACCAACACCUUGGCAUCAGAGGCGAGAUCCGACAGUGGUGGAGGGCCGGGGUACAUGAGCCUGACCAAGGCUGCCAAAGCAAGGCUGGAGGACAUCGGCGGCAGUCGGAGAGGGCCCUUUCAGCUGCAGAGGCAGCGAUCUGGGGGCGUGCCGUAUUACAGCAGAAGGGUGGCACUCUCGUCGUUGGACUCCGAGAGCAACGCGGGGUCAGAUGUCUCGGCCGCCGCGAGGAGGUUGAACAGCUUGUCUCUGAAAGGCCUGAGCAUGACGAGGAGCUUGGACAAGGAGAACUACAAUUAUUAA
rnacentral:rRNA from 1 species